rnacentral:rRNA from 1 species
GACGUAGGGGGCCAGCGUUGCUCGGAAUUACUGGGCGUAAAGGGUUCGUAGGCGGUGCGGUAAGUCGGAAGUGAAAUCUCUGGGCUUAUCUCAGAGGCUGCUUUCGAAACUGCCGUGCUGGAGUGCGGGAGAGGCGAGUGGAAUUGCAGGUGUAGCGGUGAAAUGCGUAGAUAUCUGUAGGAACACCCGUGGCGAAAGCGGCGCGCUGGACCACAACUGACGCUGAGGAACGAAAGCUAGGGGAGCAAACAGG